AGCCAAAUUCAAGAUACUCAAACCUUAGAAAAAUCAACUAUUUAAUGCAUACAAAUCAAAAGGAAUUCCCUAAACAGUCCCUACAAUCAAUUUCCCUCCUAAAAUCCAUUCAAAAACCUUCCUAUUCGGCCCUGUUUGAUCCCGGCGGGCGUGCGGGAGGCGGAACUUCCGCCUCGUGUAGCUGGGCCGGUCCCGCGUGGACCGGCUGGACCGGUCUAACAGAAU